rnacentral:lncRNA from 1 species
GAACCGGUGGUCAGAAAGAGCCGUGCGCUUUGAUGGUUCAGUGAUCCGGAGAUCAUCUUGAGCCGUGUUCAUUUAAUGACUGAGUGCAUUGGAGGCCUGAGGGGGUCUCAUGCAUUAAUGAUAAGGUGUGCCGAAUGCCUGCGAAGAUCUUGUGCCUUAAUGACUUGGGGAUGGUGGCAGAUUGAAGUGGAGUCAUAUAUUUAGUUGUCAGAUCCUUUGGAGGGUUAGGCGGAGAUUGGAUAUUUGGCUAAGGCAUG